AUAAUAAUAAUUAAAAUAAAAUAUCGGGAGAGCCGCAAUGUAAAUGAAACUGGUGGCUUCUUUUCUAUUGGGUUUCAGUAAUACUUGUGGCUUUAUAUACCUCAAAAUGCAAAUUGCAAUCGGUAAACUCAGAUUCUCAGAUCUAAAGACGACGGGGAAUGACAGAAAAUACACUAUUCUGAAGGGUUUAAGAGAUAUCCGCUGUUAGAACUUGACAUGUUAGCAUCAUUCACGGAUAAUGACAUGGAAUGAUCUUAUCAGAAAAGGCGAUAGGGAAAAUAAAUUCAGGAAAGUUUGAGAUGAAUGAACAGGUAGAUUGCUUUUUUGUGUGAUCCUUCUCGAGGCGAUUAGAUGGUGAAGAGUUCAAGAUCAAACUCUACAUCUCUUGCACAGUUCUUCAAAAUCCUUAAAAUUCUCAAAUUUCUCUUCUAGUGGAUUGGAUCAAAAGGAGUGGGCAACUAUCCCUUGUGAGGCAGUAUUGGUUGAAUAAAUUUUAUUCCAAUGGCCAACAUUUGGCCUAAACCAAUAAGGUUAAUUUCCCUACUUCUUACAUAUUGUAUUCUUGGCAUGUACAUUCUUGUCUCUACCAGAUGAUGUAUUAUUCAUAGUUAUCAGUAUCCUACGGUAUGAUAUGAUGCAGAUAGAAAACGAUAUGUAUCAUGAAAUAUAUUGUAAUACAAUACAGUGAACGUAUUGUACGAUACAAUAUAUAUUUUUUAGUGACCGUAUCAGUAAAGAGAAAAUGAUGAUAUAGUUGGAGUGCA